UACGUAGGGUGCGAGCGUUGUCCGGAAUUAUUGGGCGGAAAGAGCUCGUAGGCGGUCUGUCGCGUCUGCUGUGAAAACCCGAGGCUCAACCUCGGGCUUGCAGUGGGUACGGGCAGACUAGAGUGCGGUAGGGGAGAACGGAAUUCCUGGUGUAGCGGUGGAAUGCGCAGAUAUCAGGAGGAACACCGAUGGCGAAGGCAGUUCUCUGGGCCGUAACUGACGCUGAGGAGCGAAAGCGUGGGGAGCAAACAGG
rnacentral:rRNA from 1 species